AGCGUACACGGUGGAUGCCCUGGCAGUCAGAGGCGAUGAAGGACGUGCUAAUCUGCGAAAAGCGUCGGUAAGGUGAUAUGAACCGUUAUAACCGGCGAUGUCCGAAUGGGGAAACCCAGUGCAAUUCGUUGCACUAUCGUUAACUGAAUACAUAGGUUAACGAGGCGAACCGGGGGAACUGAAACAUCUAAGUACCCCGAGGAAAAGAAAUCAACCGAGAUUCCCCCAGUAGCGGCGAGCGAACGGGGAGCAGCCCAGAGUCUGAAUCAGCUUGUGUGUUAGUGGAACGGUCUGGAAAGUCCGACGGUACAGGGUGAUAGUCCCGUACACCAAAAUGCACAGGCUGUGAACUCGAAGAGUAGGGCGGGACACGUGGUAUCCUGUCUGAAUAUGGGGGGACCAUCCUCCAAGGCUAAAUACUCCUGACUGACCGAUAGUGAACCAGUACCGUGAGGGAAAGGCGAAAAGAACCCCGGCGAGGGGAGUGAAAAAGAACCUGAAACCGUGUACGUACAAGCAGUGGGAGCACCUUCGGGUGUGACUGCGUACCUUUUGUAUAAUGGGUCAGCGACUUAUAUUCUGUAGCAAGGUUAACCGUAUAGGGGAGCCGCAGGGAAACCGAGUCUUAACUGGGCGUUAAGUUGCAGGGUAUAGACCCGAAACCCGGUGAUCUAGCCAUGGGCAGGUUGAAGGUUGGGUAACACUAACUGGAGGACCGAACCGACUAAUGUUGAAAAAUUAGCGGAUGACUUGUGGCUGGGGGUGAAAGGCCAAUCAAACCGGGAGAUAGCUGGUUCUCCCCGAAAGCUAUUUAGGUAGCGCCUCGUGAAUUCAUCUUCGGGGGUAGAGCACUGUUUCGGCUAGGGGGUCAUCCCGACUUACCAACCCGAUGCAAACUACGAAUACCGAAGAAUGUUAUCACGGGAGACACACGGCGGGUGCUAACGUCCGUCGUGAAGAGGGAAACAACCCAGACCGCCAGCUAAGGUCCCAAAGUCAUGGUUAAGUGGGAAACGAUGUGGGAAGGCACAGACAGCCAGGAUGUUGGCUUAGAAGCAGCCAUCAUUUAAAGAAAGCGUAAUAGCUCACUGGUCGAGUCGGCCUGCGCGGAAGAUGUAACGGGGCUAAACCAUGCACCGAAGCUGCGGCAGCGACACUAUGUGUUGUUGGGUAGGGGAGCGUUCUGUAAGCCUGCGAAGGUGACCUGUGAGGGUUGCUGGAGGUAUCAGAAGUGCGAAUGCUGACAUAAGUAACGAUAAAGCGGGUGAAAAGCCCGCUCGCCGGAAGACCAAGGGUUCCUGUCCAACGUUAAUCGGGGCAGGGUGAGUCGACCCCUAAGGCGAGGCCGAAAGGCGUAGUCGAUGGGAAACAGGUUAAUAUUCCUGUACUUGGUGUUACUGCGAAGGGGGGACGGAGAAGGCUAUGUUAGCCGGGCGACGGUUGUCCCGGUUUAAGCAUGUAGGCUGGUUAUCCAGGCAAAUCCGGAUAAUCAAGGCUGAGGUGUGAUGACGAGGCACUACGGUGCUGAAGUAACAAAUGCCCUGCUUCCAGGAAAAGCCUCUAAGCAUCAGGUAACAUCAAAUCGUACCCCAAACCGACACAGGUGGUCAGGUAGAGAAUACCAAGGCGCUUGAGAGAACUCGGGUGAAGGAACUAGGCAAAAUGGUGCCGUAACUUCGGGAGAAGGCACGCUGGUGUGUAGGUGAAGCCCCUGCGGGUGGAGCUGAGACCAGUCGAAGAUACCAGCUGGCUGCAACUGUUUAUUAAAAACACAGCACUGUGCAAACACGAAAGUGGACGUAUACGGUGUGACGCCUGCCCGGUGCCGGAAGGUUAAUUGAUGGGGUUAUCCGUAAGGAGAAGCUCUUGAUCGAAGCCCCGGUAAACGGCGGCCGUAACUAUAACGGUCCUAAGGUAGCGAAAUUCCUUGUCGGGUAAGUUCCGACCUGCACGAAUGGCGUAAUGAUGGCCAGGCUGUCUCCACCCGAGACUCAGUGAAAUUGAACUCGCUGUGAAGAUGCAGUGUACCCGCGGCAAGACGGAAAGACCCCGUGAACCUUUACUAUAGCUUGACACUGAACAUUGAGCCUUGAUGUGUAGGAUAGGUGGGAGGCUUUGAAGCGUGGACGCCAGUCUGCGUGGAGCCAACCUUGAAAUACCACCCUUUAAUGUUUGAUGUUCUAACGUUGGCCCCUGACCGGGGUUGCGGACAGUGUCUGGUGGGUAGUUUGACUGGGGCGGUCUCCUCCCAAAGCGUAACGGAGGAGCACGAAGGUUAGCUAAUCCUGGUCGGACAUCAGGAGGUUAGUGCAAUGGCAUAAGCUAGCUUGACUGCGAGCGUGACGGCGCGAGCAGGUGCGAAAGCAGGUCAUAGUGAUCCGGUGGUUCUGAAUGGAAGGGCCAUCGCUCAACGGAUAAAAGGUACUCCGGGGAUAACAGGCUGAUACCGCCCAAGAGUUCAUAUCGACGGCGGUGUUUGGCACCUCGAUGUCGGCUCAUCACAUCCUGGGGCUGAAGUAGGUCCCAAGGGUAUGGCUGUUCGCCAUUUAAAGUGGUACGCGAGCUGGGUUUAGAACGUCGUGAGACAGUUCGGUCCCUAUCUGCCGUGGGCGCUGGAGAAUUGAGGGGGGCUGCUCCUAGUACGAGAGGACCGGAGUGGACGCAUCACUGGUGUUCGGGUUGUCAUGCCAAUGGCACUGCCCGGUAGCUAAAUGCGGAAGAGAUAAGUGCUGAAAGCAUCUAAGCACGAAACUUGCCCCGAGAUGAGUUCU
rnacentral:rRNA from 1 species